UACGUAGGGUGCAAGCGUUGUCCGGAAUUAUUGGGCGUAAAGAGCUCGUAGGCGGUCUGUCGCGUCGGCUGUGAAAACUUGGGGCUCAACCCCAAGCCUGCAGUCGAUACGGGCAGACUAGAGUGCGGUAGGGGAGACUGGAAUUCCUGGUGUAGCGGUGAAAUGCGCAGAUAUCAGGAGGAACACCGGUGGCGAAGGCGGGUCUCUGGGCCGUAACUGACGCUGAGGAGCGAAAGCGUGGGGAGCAAACAGG
rnacentral:rRNA from 1 species